GCCCCAGUGGCGCAAUUGGUUAGCGCACGGUACUUAUAAUGCCGGGGUUGUGAGUUCGAGCCUCACCUGGGCAUACU